UUUCUGCCUUUCUCCUUCUCCUCCUUGUUCUUCUUCUUUUGUAUCAUUUCUUAGGUUUUUUCAAAUUUAUCUUCCUUUAUUUAUCUCCUUUAAUUCUUCUCUUUUCUCUCAUUUCUACCUUUCUCCUUCUCCUCCUUGUUCUUCUUCUUCUUUUGUAUCAUGUCUUAGGUUUUUUCAAAUUUAUCUUCCUUUAUUUAUCUCCUUUAAUUCUUCUCUUUUCUCUCAUUUCUACCUUUCUCCUUCUCCUCCUUGUUCUUCUUCUUCUUUUGUAUCAUGUCUUAGGUCUUUUCAAAUUUAUCUUCCUUUCUUUUCUUUUCUCUCUUGUUUCUGGCUCAUCCCUUCCCCUCCUCCUCUUCCUUUUUCUUCUUCCUCUGUCGAUCUUUGCAUAUUAAUCUUCCUUUCCUUGUAUCCUACUAUGUAUUCUUCUCUCCAUUUCUAGCUUAUCCCUUCUCCUCCUCCUCCUGUCUCCUUUACAUCUCUGAGUCUUUGUAACAUUUCUUAGAGCUUUGCACUUUUAUCUUCCUUCCUUUGAGGCCAUUUAUUAUUAGUGUCAUUUUUUUCUCUCUGUUUCCAGCUGUCAAAUAGGAGUGUUUAUAUGUGGUUCACUCAGUUAGUCAGUCAGUUAGUCUGCCACUCAGUCCAUCAGUCAGUUAGUCAGUCACCCAUUGUCACUGGUCCGCUCAACAACAACACAAGUCACUACACCAUUCACACACACACACACACACACACUAUGUCCUCUUGUGUACCACCAGGAACACAGACGACAUAGUAAAAAAUUGAGGAAGGGAAGAUGCUUGAGACAUAAAGAAAUAUAGCUUCCCACAAAGAAAUAUAGAGGUUAGGAACAGACUAAGUGAGGAUGUAGUAUCGGCGAGGAGUGUGCAAAGCUUUAAGGAAAAGUUGGAUAAAUGUAGAUAUGGAGAUGGGACCACAUGAGCGUAAAGCCCAGGCCCAGUAAAACUACAACUAGGUAAACACACACACACACACACAGGAGCCUCACCACCUCACCAACUAACAACAGGACAAAAGACAUCGGCUAUUCUCAGUGCUAUAAUAAUAUGAGAUGUCUAGUGUGACCUUGACCUGGAUUAUUUGUGGCACUUAACACAUUUAGUAGUAGUAGUAGUAGUAGUGGUGGUGGUGGUAGUGAUUGACCUAAAUAUGGCAACUUUUUAUUUCUUCUAUUAUUAUUAUUAUUAUUAUUAUUAUUAUCAUUGGACUAACUUGAUUUAUAAGUGACAUUACUACUACUCUUAUUUAUAGUAGUAGUAGUAGUAGUAGUAGAAGUGACAUUAAUUUAUAAAGACAAAUAGCAAGUUUUUUUGUAUUAUUAAUAUUAUCAUCAUCAAACACAACCUGACUCAGUAAUGGCAACACUUCAAACAUCAUAUUCAUCUUCCUCUUAUUAUUAUUAUCAUUCCUCUUUCUUAAGCGUUUGGCCUUCACAAUUCACAAGCUUUUAAUUCAAGUCAAUGCUCUUUCUUCUCUCUCUCGGCUGUUAGCUAAAGAGGUUCACACAUUAUCAUAUGAGGAAAUGAUGAUGCUUAACUUGACCUUUCCUAUAUAUGAUAACAGGAUAUUAGUCUUUCUUUCUGUCUGACGUUAUUCUUUCUUUCUUUCUUUAACCCGUCCGCUGCAAUUGUCACGGAUUUUGCCUUCGUUGGUAGCCUGGUAACAUACACUCCCAGGUCUUUCUCUGCCUCUGUGGUGGAUAGUGGAGUGUUUCCCAUGUGGUAUUGGUGUGCUGGGUAUCCCUUCACUGGUAGCCUGGUAACAUACACUCCCAGGUCUUUCUCUGCCUCUGUGGUGGAUAGUGGAGUGUUUCCCAUGUGGUAUUGGUGUGCUGGAUAUCCCUUCACUGGUAGCCUGGUAACAUACACUCCCAGGUCUUUCUCUGCCUCUGUGGUGGAUAGUGGAGUGUUUCCCAUGUGGUAUUGGUGUGCUGGGUAUCCCUUCACUGGUAGCCUGGUAACAUACACUCCCAGGUCUUUCUCUGCCUCUGUGGUGGAUAGUGGAGUGUUUCCCAUGUGGUAUUGGUGUGCUGGAUAUCCCUUCACUGGUAGCCUGGUAACAUACACUCCCAGGUCUUUCUCUGCCUCUGUGGUGGAUAGUGGAGUGUUUCCCAUGUGGUAUUGGUGUGCUGGAUAUCCCUUCACUGGUAGCCUGGUAACAUACACUCCCAGGUCUUUCUCUGCCUCUGUGGUGGAUAGUGGAGUGUUUCCCAUGUGGUACUGGUGUGCUGGAUAUCCCUUCACUGGUAGCCUGGUAACAUACACUCCCAGGUCUUUCUCUGCCUGUGGUGGAAAGUGGAGUGUUUCCCAUGUGGUAUUGGUGUGCUGGAUAUCCCUUCACUGGUAGCCUGGUAACAUACACUCCCAGGUCUUUCUCUGCCUGUGGUGGAAAGUGGAGUGUUUCCCAUGUGGUAUUGGUGUGCUGGAUAUCCCUUCACUGGUAGCCUGGUAAUAUACACUCCCAGGUCCUUCUCUGCCUCUAUGGUGGAU